CCAGGUUGAUUCUGCCUGACGUAGACGCUAUUCCCUAAGAUUAACCCAUGCAUGUUUUUGACAUUUGAAAAAUGGACUGCUCAGUAAUACUCACUUUAUUUUAUGUAUAUUUGAAAUUAACUACGUUAAAGUGUAGAUAAGAUGUGUACAGUAAGAGUGAGACCUAUCAGCUAGUUGUUAAGGUAAUGGCUUAACAAGGCAGUGACGGGUAACGGUAUUACUUUGUAAUAUUCCGGAGAAGGAGCCUGAGAGACGGCUACUAAGUCUAAGGAUUGCAGCAGGGGCGAAACUUGACCUAUGGAUUUUAUCUGAGGCAGUUAUGGGAAGUAAUAUUAUAUUGUUUCAUAUUGUAAAAGUAUAUGAGGUGAUUAAUUGGAGGGCAAAUCAAGUGCCAGCAGCCGCGGUAAUACUUGUUCCAAGAGUGUGUAUGAUGAUUGAUGCAGUUAAAAGUCCGUAGUUUAUUUUUAAGAAGCAAUAUGAGGUGUACUGUAUAGUUGGGAGAAAGAUGAAAUGUGACGACCCUGACUGGACGAACA
rnacentral:rRNA from 1 species